GGCGGGGAGGGUGCAGGAGGUCAUCGUGGGGCUGGAGCGGCUGGCCUUCGCCUUCGAGAAGGAGGUGGAGACGCAGAAGGGCACUGGGCUUCUGAUUUCCAGGCCAUGGACAGAGGGUGGAUGUGACCUCAAAGACACGCCUGCUCGUGCACAGAGAAUGCUGGGAUUUUCAGGGGACUGCAACAAUAAGGAACGUCCGUUCCUCCACGUGAAGCCGGCCUUCAAGACCCAGCACUGUCCGUGGUACGACCGAGGUUUCUGCAAGCACGCAGGUCCACUGUGUUAAGUACCGACAUGUCCGCAGGACAAAGUGUACUAACUACUUAAAGCUGGCUUCUGCCCGGAAGGACCCAGGUACCAAUUUGCACACUUGUCAAGCAGCCCCUGGGGUCCGUACUUCCUCCUGCCUGGGAACACCGCGGGGCCCCCUCCCUGACAAGAGUGCCUGCCUCCUCAUCCUCAGACGAGGCCCCAUGAGCCGGGGGCCGCCCACUGCCUGGGGCUCAGGUGCUGGAGCAGGCCAUGCUACAGGGUGAGUGAUGAUGGAGCUGGGCUGCUGCCGGGCUGAGGACCAGGGGAGGGGUGAUUAGCAGCAGGUUAAGAAGCCAGACUCAGGUUUUGGUGAAUUAAGAGAGAAUGGGGCAAUUUGGCUGAUAAACCAAAUGUUCUGAUUGUAAGGUCUCAACCUUACUUUAUUUGCUUCCCCUGCCAGUUUCUUUCUUUAAAAGGCUAAGGAGUUAGACAUCUUCCAGGCCCUGUUUUGCUGCCCAGUGAUCCCUUGAGUUAUUUAUACAUAAUGGUCUUAAGAUGUGCUGGGGGGAGGGGGCAGCUUGGUAAGGAAGGGGAUGUCACGCAGCUUGCGUUUUUUAAAGAAUUAAUUUUAUUUUUGGCUGUGCUGGGUCUCCAGUUGCGGCCAGCGGGGGCUCUUCUCUAGCUGUGGAGCUCGGCCUUCUCGUCGCGGGGGCUCCUCUGGCUGUGGAGCUCGGCCUCCUCGUCACGGGGGCUCCUCUCUAGCUGCGGAGCUCGGCCUUCUUGUCGUGGGGGCUCCUCUGGCUGCGCUCAGCCUUCUCGUCGCGGGGGCUCCUCUGGCUGCGCUCAGCCUUCUCGUCGCGGGGGCUCCUCUGGCUGCGCUCAGCCUUCUCGUCGCGGGGGCUCCUCUGGCUGCGGAGCCUGGGCUCUGGGCCCGGGGGCUCAGUAGUUCCCCACACAGGCCUAGUUGCCCCACUGCCUGUGGGGUCUUCCUGGAUCCGGGAUUGAACUCGUGUCCCCCGCAUUGGCAGGCGGAUUCUCAACCACUGGACCACCAGGGAAGCCCACACUUUGCCUUUCCUGGUUGCUAUCUUUGGUUCAUCAGGAAGAAAACCAUCAUGUUUCACUCCUUCAAGAGACAGAAUGUAAAUUGUCCUCUGCAUUCUCUGUUUUGCAAGACGGCAGUAGUGCAGGGAUGAGAGGUGAGGGGGGCACAGGGCUCGCCCUCCUCAAACGAUGCUGUCCUCCUCUUUACGUGUCCAGCCCUGUUCUCUGGGUUAGCGAUGCUGGGUGUGGAUCUCAAGGCCUUUCUCAGGCCAAACAAGGAACUUCAUUUAAGAGUAGAAGCCAGGUUCCUCAGUAAGCCAGCUAACGGUCUCCUAUGCUGCCCAGGAGAAUUCGGCAUUUUUUUUCUCUUGGGAUGUGAAUUUACAAAAAGUCACACGGUUAACUUUUUCUCUUUUAGUGUUGAAAAAUGAGCUGUUAUGCCAGUAAGUGUCAACUGGUAGGAUUCAUUAAAACACAAGACCCCACGUUGGUCUGGGGAACUGGAGGACCUUCUGUAGUGAAGAUGCUGGAAGGCCGUGCUGCCCGCUAACCAGCACAGAGGAGGCCGAAGCAGCCUGCUUCCCGCUUCCUCUUCUCCUCUAAGUGAGCGAGCUGCUGAAGACACAGCAGGAGUGGGGGCUCACUGUCCGUGGCAGCAACGAGUUAGUCGUAGAGCAGGGAAGUGCAAUGCCCGCACGGCCAGCUUGAGGGUGCAGCCUGCUCGGCUCCCCAUGGCCGCAUGCACACAGGCACGCCGCUCCCGGGCACUUGCGCUGCACCCAGCCUGAGCUACUGCUGUAAACUGGCGAUUAAAUCAAGUUUCUUUUGCACGACAGCUGCUUCCCUGGACGGCUUCCUUAAAUUCAGGAUUUGAUACUGUGCUCGUCUUACGUGAGGGAUCACGGGGGCAGGGAGGGGAGGUAGACGGUACCAACGAGGCUUGGCCCAGGAGGUGAGGAAGUGACGUGGGGCAGCGAGCACCAUGUGAUCUACAUCAUCGUCUAAGUCAGCCACCUGGGCAGCCUAACCCAUGGGGCGAGGCUGGGGGAGGCCAGGCCAGGCCCGCUGGAGGAAGAGAAGAGGGAUGGUGUGGAGGGACCAGGCCCGCCGGUCUUGCAGACACAGGCAGCGGCCUUAUCCCGCUUGGUGGAAGGGGAGAGGGCGGGGGGCAAGACCAUCCAAGAGCACGCUGGCCCAGCAGACAGCUCCUCCCUGGGCGGGUAUGUGACACAUGGCACGCAGCCAGACCACCAACCUUCUCAAGCCUGCACCCUCUCUCCGGGGGAAUGUGACGGCCGCUUUGGCCUCACUGGGUGGUUGUGAGCAGGCGGCAGGUGAAGAAUGGUGCUUGGCUGACGAAAGCAAGCGCCCAGGUGGUAGCUGAAGUUUGGCUGGAUGGAGGUGGGGCCUCUUGCUGGAUUCCAGUCAGGAUGUGGACGCAGGACGAGGCCACAGGAGUUGUCAGCAAAGGUGGUAUUGUUCGUUCCUACUACGUUGAGACUCCUCAUCUUACCAGUCUCUGCAGAGUAGGUAUACCUGUCCCCGUUUUACGGCCUGGAACAAGGAGGCUCCAGUUAAGUUAGAUCACUUGUCCAAGGACGGACGUGCUACUUAUCUCACAGGUACUGAGUUCAGAAAGGCUCCUCCUGAAACAUGUCCCAGCCCUGAACGCUUUAGAGUGGACCCCCGGUCGUCUUCAUCCCUCCGACGGAGGAGCCUGUGAGGUCCUGCUGGCCCAGGGCAGGGGUCGGCAGGCUUUCUGUGGAGGGUCAUAGCGGAACCACGUUCAACUCUGCAG
ensembl:lncRNA